GACGAACGCUUUCGGCUUUCUUCACCCCUUCACUUCGACCUUCAAUGCCCUGCUUUUUUUUUUUGCUCGAUUGGCGAACGGGUGAGUAACACGUGAGUAACCUGCCCUUGACUUUGGGAUAACUUCAGGAAACUGGGGCUAAUACCGGAUAGGAGCUCCUGCUGCAUGGUGGGGGUUUGAAAGUUUCGGCGGUUGGGGAUGGACUCGCGGCUUAUCAGCUUGUUGGUGGGGUAGUGGCUUACCAAGGCUUUGCCUGGUCGCCGGCCUGAGAGGGUGACCGGCCACAUUGGGACUGAGAUACGGCCCAGACUCCUACGGGAGGAAGCAGGGGGGAAUAUUGCACAAUGGGCGGAAGAAUGAUGAAGCAACGCCGCGUGCGGGAGGAAGGGAGGCGGGUUGUAAACCGCUUUAGACGGGGAAGAAGAGUGAGUGACGGUAAUGGGUAAAGAAGCAAAGGAGAAAGACGGG
rnacentral:rRNA from 1 species